rnacentral:rRNA from 1 species
GACGAACCGUGCGAACGUUAUUCGGAAUCACUGGGCUUAAAGGGCGCGUAGGCGGGCUCGUAAGUCAGGGGUGAAAUCCCACGGCCCAACCGUGGAAGUGCCUCUGAUACUGCGGGCCUCGAGGGGGAUAGGGGCGUGCGGAACUCAGGGUGGAGCGGUGAAAUGCGUAGAUAUCUGGAGGAACACCGGUGGCGAAGGCGACAUCCUGGACCGGUAUUGACGCUGAGGCGCGAAAGCCAGGGGAGCAAACGGG